rfam:Colletotrichum higginsianum, IMI 349063, WGS project CACQ02000000 data, contig: cont1.913
ACAUACGACUAUACCCACUGGAGAACUCGGGAUCCCGUCCGCUCUCCCAUAGAUAAGCCAGUGAGGGCCGGAUUAGUAGUUGGGUCGGUGACGACCAGCGAAUACCUGGUGUUGUAUGUC